AUCCAGCUGAUGAGUCCCAAACAGGACGAAACGCGCGUCCUGGAU
rfam:Schistosoma mansoni, Puerto Rico, WGS project CABG01000000 data, contig: 0229